AGCUUGAAGCUCAAGUAGUCUGAUCCAAAUUGUUGGCGCUACUGGCCCUUUCCAAUUGAGGGCGCUGUACACUGUACAUAUGUUAGUCGUCCAGCCCGCGAUGAUUAUGCUGCGUUCGAAGUUUUAAUUCUCACGUUUUGUGAAACUUGUCUUUGAUUUUCAGCACAAAAAGGACGUCAUUGGUGAAGCAUGGGACAUCCUGUGGUACCAUUUUCCCACAAAAACAACUCAAAAGAUGGUCAACUGAUGCAGGACUGCAUGUACAAUGAGAACGCAUCUAUGCUGGUCUACUGACACCAUUGUGCUGUCUUGGGAGAGAGCCAGCAGAUAGACCAUGCCCAGCCAUUCCACUUUGUCACUCAUCUGGUGGUCACAAAAGGACACCAUUCAGGUUGACGGGGUGUACUGAUGAACGUUUGACUGAUGGAGCAGGAAAUUCAUUAAGGCAGUAAAGGGCCCCUGUCAAGCUUUGACACCACUAAUGGCAAGAAAUUUGACCACAUUAUUCCUGCGCUGAUGCGAUUACAUUGGUUGCCAGUAAAAUAUUGGGUAAUUUUUGGAGUCCUGUACAUGAGUCUCCUUAAGCACACGUCUCAUUGGAAUGAAACUUUGUAGAGAGAAAGGGAAGUGUUUUCAAGAGAAAUUGAACUGCUGUGAUAAUGACGUCAUCAGGUGACAAGUCAUGUAACAUUAAAGCAUGUUUAUGUGCAGCACAACCCUGACAGAAUGCUGGAACAUGCCUCAUAAAUAAGAACUUGAGUUUCUCCUGCAUCUGAUGGCUGCAUCAGAACGACCUACAUCAGAGAAACCACUGUCAGCACCCGGCAUGAUCUGCAUCAUUCAUAGGCACAUGUGUAAUGUGUGAAUGGGUGGCUGUGUAGACCAGCCACUGAGUACCUGGAGGCAAUAUGGGAAUAUUGCUGAUGUGGAAACUCUUGCUGGUUAUCACUAGAGAGAAACUCACCCACAAAAGUACCUUUCACAGUGUGCCAUGGACUCCAUGGGUGAGUGAUUGCACUGUCUCUUCCAGGGCAGCUCCUUGAAAGAACUGAUCAUCAGUUACACGGGUAUGAAUACUACAUUAUUUUUUUAUUAUGGGAGAUGGGCUGGUUCCAGAUGUAUGCGCAGUUGUCAAGAAUGUUGUCAAGACACCACCUCUGCCUGUUACUCCUGGUUGUACUGAAUACGUGCCAUCCUUGAUCUGAAGUGGGUUGGGCAAACACAGCACAGAUAUUGAACUAACUCGAGCAAAGAAAAAGGGGUUGAUACAACAGUAAUCUUUGGGAAUUGUCAGGUUACCUGAAGCCUGCCCUGGGAAUGCAACCCAGCAGUCUAAUCAGUGUGAUGGUGCUUCCGAUGUAGAGGGUGCUGAUAUGGGGUGCUCGCCAUUGCUUGAGUCUUGCAAGUUUGUUCACAUUCUACCUUCCUUCAUCUCUUUUAAAAAACGAUGAAAGGUCCUUUCACACAAGCACUGAAAACACGGGUCCUAUGUGGUGAAAUUGCUUCAAACUGCAUGGAUAUUAUGUCUCUUGAAAGUGCACCCUUGUCUCCAAAUUACACGGGUCCAGCAUGUUUUCUACACGGAUUGAAACCUCCUUCCUAACUCCAUCAUCAGUGCAUAACCCACGCAAGUAUCACUGGGUAAAGCAUGUCAUUAUCCUGAGGAUAUUGUAUAUUGACAUCUAUCUUGCUCUUGCCUUUGUGCAGAAUAGCAGGUCACUACAAUAUGCUGCCUAUCACUCAUAGCCUUGCUGCCAUCUGGUUCUGUACACACAUUAGCAUUGUGUUUCCAUAUUUUUUUUGGGGGGGUUGAAGCCAGACUUAUGAAGUUGGAGCCUUCCUUUCCCUUAUAACAAUUAUCGUCUGGACCCGUGAAUGGAAACAAAAUGAUGAAUUAUUGUGGGCAGUGAAAUUUCUGACAUUCUUUCCCUUUUGAAAGAUUUCUCUUGAGCCAAAUUCAGAAAAAAGGAACAACACAUUCACAGCAAUUCUAGGGAUAAACUGGAUACCUCACACUUAAAAAUCUGAUGUCUGACGGAUGAAUUUUUCUACUCCAUUCACAUGAGAAAUUGUGUAUUUUAUGAAGUACCAGUUUGGAGCUGUAUAAUCUUUGAUGGCAACAAAGUUACCUCUAAGCGGCAGGGACGAUUUGCUGCCAGUGUGGCUACUCGUGAGUCAGAGCCAAGGAAUCUGUCACAAAAUUGAGAUCAACCUCUAGCAGUCGAAUGUUUCAUCAUAAUUGGUUUCUUACACAAAUGUUCAUGCAUAAAAAAGCAAGAGUGUGGGUUGGAAAAUUGCUGAAAAUAUUGCAGUAUCAGUGAUAUUGGUGAAAAUGUGGCAAAACCAGGAACGUUUACCAACGUGCUGCACAUUGUAGCUAUGAAAGCCUUCGAUGAAAUUGCAGGCAUCCCUUGCAUCAAACUCCAUGCACCAACCUUUGCAGGUGUGUGUUCCCUGUGCUUGUGCCAUAGAGCCCUUCAUUGCCUCCACAUUUUCCCAAUGCUUAUUUGUGCGUGAUAUUUGAGUGUGGCAUAUUCAUGAAGGAAAUAAGAAGCUGGAUCUUUGUCAUAAACUUUUUUUAAUUAGAAAUUUGUGCGUUGGUCAGUUUAAUUUAUGUCUAAAAUUAUAUCUUUAAGGUGUAUCAAAAAUGAAAAAAAUAGCAAUACAAAAUGGAUUGGUGAUUGAUUGGUAAUGGAUUGGUACGCUGAACUUCUGAAGCUGACCAUUUCAAGUAUGGUUGCAUUGGAAAGCUUAGUUUAUGAGCUCUCAAUUGAUCUCUAUAAUCACAGAUAAAUAAAAGCUAUUAGCCUGUCAUAACAAAAGUUAAACACCUUUUUCCAGUGUGUGGGGUUAAGUGUAUUGCCAUCAAAAGCACAUAAAAUCUUCCCUUAUGUGCUUAAGUGCAAGCAACUUGUACAACUGGGCCAUGAUGUCUUGAGAUGUCUGUGCUGGUCACAGGACAGUGCCGCAGGUCAUUGUCUUAUCGCAGUCCGAAGAAGGCAGAGUGAUUUUCCCUCAAUGAUGCUGUGGAAUGGCCUCCUUGGUCAUCUGGUCUUAUACCCAGUGAUUAUUUCCCUUUAUUUAUGUAUAUGAACAUCAUGAUGUUGUUGUGUUGUGAUUCUGUAUUCUAAAUAAAAAUCAAGGUCUUGUAUAACAACCCAGCAGUGGUGUGACAAGCAGUCCAAAAACUGCACCACUGCUGUAAAAUUUAUUGUAAAUAGGGAACAUAGACAUGUUGAAGGUGUUGCUGAAUGAAGAGGUGAAUCAUUAUCCCUUUUUCUGAAUAAGUAGUUCAUUCCAAAGACAGCUUGUUAAUUUUAUUCACAAAUCCAGUGCCAGAACGUGUAGAAAGCUCAGAGAACCAUCAGCCCAAUUAGAGAAAAGGAUGGUUUUACGUAUCAAUCUGUUAAACAACAUUGCUUAAUCAUCCAUAAUGGCAGAGAUGCAAGUCAGGCAUCAACAGGAAACUUCUAAACUAGCAGUAUUCUUUCAGAUGCAACCAUACAGUGUUUGGCAUCAUACAUUUGAUGUACUAAUGCCUUGUAGUACUGGAGUUUAUUUAUUUUUACACAUAAUCUGGCUAAUGAUUUUUAAACUAACUGGUGAUGGGUCUUUCCUUAUCCUUUGUUUAGCUUUUAUUUUAAGCAGCACACAGUUUAAUUAGAAGUACGUGUAACUAACUAAAGGUUAAGAAACCUUUAUUUUGUGGGGGAAGGGUGGACCCAUAAAAUUUUAAUUUUUUGUCACGCAAUGUUUAAUGGCCCUUUCUAAAAUAUACUAUUAGAAGGAAGGAAAAUAAAACGGACCCCCAAUGUUUUUCUCUCAAUCAAUAAAAUGCCUCUUUUGCCUCCACCCUCACCUUUGGUAGGUCAAUAAUAAGGCUAAAAUAGUUGUCUUAUUUUCUGUCUUGUUCUUUUUUAUUUCAUUGACUUGCCCUUGACCCACACCAGCAACAUAUUUCGGGAAGAAUGUCAAUAAAAGGUAUUGUAACUGUA